rnacentral:lncRNA from 1 species
AGUCUUGGCGGAAGCCUGAGACGCAGUAGAUGGAGGCUCUCCCUUUCGCCUUGGCGUACUCCGUUUUUUUCCUUCCUGGAGCUGGUCUUGCGGGGCAGCCCUAAAAUGUAUAUCCAAGUGACUUGCACUCAGCACUUGCUGUCUUGAGCUUACUUUCCUCGUUCGUAGAAUGGAGAUACCACACUUUCUGAAGUGCUUAUGAGACUUGCAGGAGGUAAGUAUGCAGCAGGUUUUGAUGACUGUAGCCUAAUGCUUACUUACUAUAGGGUUUAAUGUGCCUUCUAAAUGCUUUAAUGUAUUAACAAGUGCUUAAUUCUUACAAUUCUGAAUUAAGUACUACUAUUAUUCCCGUUUCAAAGAUAGGACCUUGAGGUCCACAGAGGUUAAAUAAGGGUCACACAACUAGUAAGUGACAGAGCAGGGACGUGCACCUAGGUCAUACUGUGCAAAGCCCUUGCACAUAACCAGCACCUCCUCAACCGUAGCCACGAAAAGCUUCGUCCCUAUGUGGUACAACAAACUGUGUCAUUGUUGAGCCCUAAAAGGAAAAGGCAACGUUAAUAUUUGCAGAUGACAGGAACCCUUGAAAAUCUAGGUGCCUCAAUUUUAAAAUUGAGUGCAAUAAUAAAGCUUAACUCAGUAGAAGAAUAACCAGAAUUAUUUGAAUAAGCAAAAACGUAUUAAAAAAUGAAAUAAUAUUUUCUCCACAAUGGCAACAGAAACCAUAAAAGAUUUAGGAAUAAACUUCAACAAGUUACACAAUCUUUAUUAUAAACCUUUACUGAAAAGGCAGUAAUAAGGCCCUAGUAAAUGUAAAACAUGUUGUAUUCUUAGAUGAGUAGUCAGUAUCAAAAAUAUUGUCAAUUCUUCCCAAGUCAAAUUACAAAAUUAGUGCAAUUCUCAUGAGAGUCCCAAAUUCUCUUGGGGAUAUGUGUUUUAGAACUAAUUAAUUUUAAGUUUUAUGUGGAAGAUCACAUAAUUAUCAAGAAAACUUGGAAACAAGAGAAGUGUAUUAGUCUGUGUGGACUGCUGUAACAAAAUACCAUAAACUAGGCAGCUUAUAAAUAACAAAUUUAUUUCUCACGGUUCUGAAAGUUGGAAAUCCAAGAUCCAGGUGCCGGCCGAUCUGGUCGCUGGUGAGGACCCAGAGAUUUACAGAUGACUCACAGAAGGCACCUACUCACAGUGCCCUCACGUGACAGAAGGGGCGAGCUAGCUCUCUGAGCUGUCUUUCAGUGGCACUUCUAGGAUCUGAAAGUUUGUGUUCCCUCAAAUUCAUAUGUUGAAACCUAAUCACCAGUGCAAUAGUAUUAAAAGCUGGGGCUUUGGGAUAUUGAUUAGGUUAUGAGGGCUCUAACCUCAUAACUGGAAUUAGUGCCUAUCUCAGUCCAUUCCCACUGCUAUAACAGAAUACUUUAGACUGAGUGAUUUAUAAAUAAUAGACAUUAUUUCUCAGAGUUCUGAAGGCUAGGAAGUCCAAGAUAAAGGUACCAGCAGAUUCAGUGUCUGAUAAGGGCUUGCUAUCUGCUUCCAAGACAGUGCCUUGUUGCUGGGUCCACAGAAGGGGACGAACACUGUAUCCUCACAUGAGGGAAGAGAUGGGAGGCAAAAGGGCAAAAAAAAAAAAAAAAAAA